rnacentral:rRNA from 1 species
UACGUAGGGUGCGAGCGUUUAAUCGGGAUUACUGGGCGUAAAGCGUGCGCAGGCGGUCUGUUAAGACCGAUGUGAAAUCCCCGGGCUUAACCUGGGAACUGCAUUGGUGACUGGCAGGCUUUGAGUGUGGCAGAGGGAGGUAGAAUUCCACGUGUAGCAGUGAAAUGCGUAGAGAUGUGGAGGAAUACCGAUGGCGAAGGCAGCCUCCUGGGCCAACACUGACGCUCAUGCACGAAAGCGUGGGAGCAAACAGG